rnacentral:lncRNA from 1 species
CUCUCACGCCAACAAUCUCUCUCUCACUCACCGGCCGCGGCCUCUCUUAUUUUCUCCAAACCUUCCAUUCCAACCACUGAAGUCACACCAAGUCUCAAACCACCCUCCACGAGCAAUCCCAUCAGCUCUUUUUUUAUUGCUCUCGAUACCUACAAGCAGGGCCGGUCCUGUGAUUGUCAAGGCCCGAGGCAUAGCCUAAAAAUUGGGCCCCCUCCUGAAAUCAACGUAAAUGCAAUGGAUAAAGUGUGUGUGUGUGUGUGUGUGUGUGUGUAUAUAUAUACUGGGCAAGCAUAGGCCUCAUUUGCCUAGCCCCAGGACUGGGCCUAUCUACAAGCUCAGAUUCUUCUACUGAAAGCGCAUUUCCUCUUUGAUCAUCUGGGAGGUUGUUGACGACAACUGAAUUCGAGCCUUGCUGAUUAAAGGUAUUAUUGAACUUGUAUCAAUAUCUAUCUGCUAUGCCCCUCACCUGAGAACCUUGAUGUUUAUAUUCUGUAUUAUUUUUGGAAGUUUUGAUGUUUAGAUAUUUGGUCGAUUAAAAACUUAUCUUAUUUUGCUAUAAUACAUAAGUUAUUUAUUAAUUGUAUGAGUCUAUUUCUUAAACUUCAUUAACCUUACAUUAUGCAACUCAAGAAGUAGAUCCAUGUUUUUCUAUUUGGGCAAUUGCCUUGUCUUCAAUAUGUGGAUUGACUUUGAUUAUCAUUUGGCCUAUAAUUUAUAAAUAACUAAUCAUUUGAAUUCAGUUGGAUCCUAAUAUCAUUAUGUGCUCUGCUUUCAAAUGUUGAAGAUGCCUGUAUGCUGUGGUGAAGGUUGGUUCAGUUGGCUCGACUUUACUUACGUGUGGUUUUGUAGAACAUGAACCAUAAUUGUUACUGUUUGGUUAAUUUCUUGAUGUGGGUUGAGUUUGAACGCAAUAGUUAAUCUUUUUACUGUAUCCUAGUCCAUGAAAUCCGUGUUAUAAAUUUUUUAGGCAAUUUUUAUUUAGAAUAGUUUCUUUGUGAACUUCAUAGUUCAAUGUGUUGCUUGAUGAUUCUUCACUUGAUAGUGCUGAUUAGAAAGGGCUAUCAUUGCUGUGUGCUGAAUACGAAUUCUGAGUUAAGGAUGGGAAUUUUCUUAUUAUUUAUUUUACAUUUGCACUAUCAGCAUCCAGUAUUCACUGGUGAUUGUCAUGAAUUGUUGAAGUUUAGCUAAUAGGUGUGCAAAAGCAAUAACAUUUUCUCCCACAUUUGGAUAAAAUUCGUUGUAUUUAAUGUCAUUUGUUAUUUGUACAGAUGUUUGGCCCAAGUAGUGCUAGAAGUAUUGGAUUAGGACCAAUACGCAAGGAAGAUAGGACGACCAAUAUAUCAAUGAGCAAUAUCCCACAAGAAGAUCCCGCUGAACCGUUACCAAAUGCGGAUGAAAGGCCAAUAAACCUAAAUGACGAGGAGCGCUAGUUGGAAAACUAUCUUUCGGAAAGAGGAAAUUGAUCACAUUGGAUUUUGAGAGUUCUUGCACGACCUGCAACCUAAGGUUCCUUCUUGCAAUACUUUGAAAAGCGUCAUUUUAAAAAUCUAUGAAUACGAGAAAAGAAAAAAAAUAUGAUUGCACUUGAGAAGAUUGAUAGUCAAAGUUUGAUUACUACUGACAUGUGGACCUCUCCUAAUCAAAAGAAAGGAUUUGUGGUUGUUCACGAAAUAUUUUCUUUCGAUUUAAAACUACCACAAGUGUACGGUUCGUUAACAAGUAAUAAAGUGGAUUAAAUGAGUCUGAAUAUCGUCCCACAGAAAUUGAUUAGUUCAAAUUUUAUCUUUCGUAGCCUUAACCGAAACUAAAUUACAAAAGUGAAUGUAGACCUAAUUAAAU